rnacentral:misc_RNA from 1 species
GAUGAAGAACGUAGCGAAAUGCGAUAAGUAAUGUGAAUUGCAGAAUUCAGUGAAUCAUCGAAUCUUUGAACGCACAUUGCGCCCGCCAGUAUUCUGGCGGGCAUGCCUGUCUGAGCGUCAUUUCAACCCUCAUGCCCCUAGGGCGUGGUGUUGGGGAUCGGCCAAAGCCCGCGAGGGACGGCCGGCCCCUAAAUCUAGUGGCGGACCCGUCGUGGCCUCCUCUGCGAAGUAGUGAUAUUCCGCAUCGGAGAGCGACGAGCCCCUGCCGUUAAACCCCCAACUUUCCAAGGUUGACCUCAGAUCAGGUAGGAAUACCCGCUGAACUUAAGCAUAUAAUAAGCGGAGGA